rnacentral:piRNA from 1 species
UGGUUCUUUGUUUUGUUUUUUUCNGCUGA